GAUAUAUCCACAACAAUGCUCUCAAAUAAUUAUUUUCAAAAAUAUACAUCUUACAAAACAAGAUAUACCUUGAUGUGGUUCAGGGCACACACUAUCCCAAAAUAUAAGCACCUUGGCAUGUUGAAUAUCUUUUUUUUUUUAAGAUUUUAUUUUUCCUUUUUCUCCCAAAGCCCUCUGGUACAUAGUUGUGUAUUUUUAGUUGUGGGUCCUUCUAGUUGUGGCAUGUGGCAUGCUGAAUAUCUUAAACUGAAGAAAUUCGAGAAAAUGCAGCUGCACAAGGGUCACUCGGACCCCUCCCACCUUUUCCUGCCCGCCCCCUUUCUUCUCUGAAACACGUCAUGAAACCCGCUGUGACAGGUCCCCUCUCUACGCCAGGAGGAAAGAAGACAUUCUCAUCACCAGAGAUGGAAUUUAGGGCCGAGAAGUCUAUAUAAACAAAUUUUAACUAAUCCUUAUCUUCCUAGUUUCCUCACCAUUUACUACCCCUAGCCCAGACUGCUGUGUCAUGUCAAUUCUUCACAAAUUUAUUGUUUCUUCCUCUAAAAGGUAUAAAAGCUUCCUGCUCUGGUUUCUUCUUUGGGUCUUCGUUCUCUUGGGAAGGCUCUCAUGUACAUGGGAAAAUCCAAUAAAAUUUGUGUGCUUUGAUCCUGUUAAUCUGUCUUUGUCGGUUUAAUUUUCAGACCUAGCCAGAGACCCUAGGAGAACUUUUUCCGUCCCUACACCCUCAACUAAAAGAAAAGAACACAAGUUUCCUAAAUCUGACGGAGUAUCUUAGCUUUUAUUCAUUCCUCCCCAGCUCCCUUGGAGAAUAAACAGGACUGGCCCUUGUAAGUAAGGAUCUUUUGUUAGCGACUCCUUCCCUUCCGUAAAGUCCCGUAAAUUAAAACUGGAAAUGAUUUGAUAUCUGUUGGCUCAUUUUCUGAUUAUACUUUGGUCCGAAUAAAUUGCAAUGUUUUAACCUCAAUCAACAUUUGCAUUUUAAGUCUUUAUCUCUAGUCCUAGAAUAAAAGGCUUUAUAACCACCAAAAGAAUUUCAGAUACAGCCUGCAGAGGGAUUUGGAAAAAUAAUGGAGAGGACAAUUAUAUCUUCCUUUGCCAUGGAGGCAGAGCUUGCAGCCAGAGGGCGUUCCCUGAAGAGCUGCCUGUCUAAGAACACUUCCUCCUCAGGAGCCUGAGCGCCACCAGCAAGACCACCCCUCCCUGUCCAGGAUCUUGAAAAGAAGAUUGUCUCUUGUCCCAAAGAGAGCUGUUUGGCAGAAAACGUCUACCUCCAGUGUAGUCUUGGAUUAUCUUGAAAACGGGAGCAUCUUCAUGUGGACUCAUAACUGAGACACAAGCAGGCAUGGAGGAUAGUCACAGGACUCUCUCGAAAGAGGAAAACAUUUUGGUAAGGAUGCAUCUGGAAAAACUCAAUGAGAGAACAAAAUCAGUUUGCACAACGGGAAAGAAUCUUUCAAUUUAAGCUUUAUUGUUAAUUGCUGUCCUUAUUGAUUUAAUUCUCGAUUUAGCAAUCCUGUGUCAAAGUUGGCAUUUUCGAGUUGGUGUUUUAAGAUCUCUGUAAGCAUCUAAAACAGUCCUUUUUGUACUGAAAGGAGAAGAAAUUAAGGCUGUAACUUGUCUUAUGUUCAUCUUUGUAUGAUCAAUGCUCAGCACAUAAUAGAUGAUCAAAAAGUAUUAGCUGAAUUAAUUAAUAUAUGACCAACUCUAAUGUUUACCACCUUCUUCCUUUAUUCAUUUAACAAAUAUUUUUCAACAGCCUACCAUGUGCAAAUGAAAGAUCUUAUCACAUGACCACCCAGGGAAAGUGUCAGAGCUGGAGGGACAUGCACAUUUCAAGGUCUGGCGGUGUGAAGAAACUGGGCAUGUUGAGAAACAGAAAAAAGGCAAUUUUGGCUGGAAUGUAGUGACGGAGUGGGAGAGAAGUAGGAGAGGGGGUCAGGUGUAUAGCCAGGGGCCAGAUCCUGUCAGGCUUCAUAGGCCUUUGUAAGGACUUUGUGUUCUAAGUACCAUGGAAAGCAGGAAAGCAAGAUAUUAUGAGCUGAUUUUUUUUUCUGGCCUCAUUCUCAUUCUCAGUGCCCUGUAGAUAAUGGAUUGCAGUGGGGCAAGAGGUGAGAAUGGCUGAGUUCUUGCUGCCUCCAGUAUUUAAGCACUGCCCUUAAUCUUGUGUCCCUCAGUUAUGACUUCACAUGGUGAUUUUCCAGUUCUAAAGAUAAACCUGGGUCAUAUAACAUAGAGGAGUAAAGAAUGCUUAACCAUAUGUAACACACAAGUCAGGGGUGAAAGAAAACCCAGGAGAGGCAAGAAGAGGUAAAAUAGAAAGCAAACAUUGUAUCUCUUCCCAUUAGUAUUUAAGUUAGCAGAAUCUCAUUUGAAUCAAAUUAUUUCCUUCUCUAAAUCUUAUGAACAGUCCCAAAUAUUAUAAUUCUGAAGAAUUUCCCUGGCCUGUUGGCGGUUGUGAUAAAGUUCCACUCCUUACACUGUUAGAUUCAAGCUCCCGAUUGUACCUAGUAUUUCUAAGAAGUUCCAUUUGUUUUAUUUUCUGGGCCAUACUCCCAAUUUGUUGAAAAGCUAGCAAGGUCUUUGAUAGACUGUUACAGGGGCUCUGAGAAGGAACUGAAAGCCUUAGGUUAAGACAGCAUGCUGAAGUUUAUAGGACCAGAGAAAAAGAAGCUUCCAGGAGUAGUGAAAAGUCAGAACGUUUUAAGGACUACUGCUCUGAGGAUUUAAUUUAGUAAUAAUAUUUCAGUUAAUAUCACUAUUGAGAGCAUUCUAUAGGAAAAAAUUGUACAAAUGAAUGUUUGAUAAAUAUACAAGUAGAUUAUAAGUGAAAUAUAUUUUGACAGCAUCUUAUACUUGUAAUUAUGAAUCAAUGAACAAUAAACAUAUGAUAAAAUAAUCAGAGAACUGCAAAUAUUUUUGCAAGAGGCUUUCUGUAUAAAAACCAAUCAUACUGGGGCCACCCCGGUGGCCGAGUGGUUAAGUUCGCGCGCUCCGCUUUGGUGGCCCAGGG